GUACAACUUAGUUCUAGAAAAUAAUAUGGAUUCAAAACUAUAAGAGGAGCACAUAUUUAAAAAUUUUCUCAGCGUGUUUCUGGAAAACUCUUUAAAAAUCAAACUUAUAAGUGAAACUGUGCAGUUUGCCCAUAUCAACAGACUUAAAUGGUCCUUUAGGGGUGUAAAAACACAAUCAACAGAUGCACGCGACAACAGAUGGCGAAAGAUGCAAAAUCUGAGAAAGCGAAAGAAGAGGACACAGUGAACAAAGGACGGUGUUUACAGAGCGACUGGCUCCACACAACUGAAUCGCCUGGAUGCAUUGGGGAGCAGCUUGGAGCUACUUUGGAACGAUAUGGAAAAGAACCCAUGGCGAAACUCUCUUAAAUCCACUCUGAAAGUCCUUCCGAGAGAGUACAAAAAAGUGUCGGUGGAAAAGGGUGGUUGAUUUGGGGUAUGAUCCGGUGUUUGGGAAUCGAAUUCGCCGACACUGGGCAAUGUGCUGCAAUUUAAUAGGCCUUAGAUUAAAGGCUAAGAACCAAGAAAGGGAUUUCUU
rnacentral:lncRNA from 1 species